AAUGUCCACAGAAUGAAAAGCUGUUUUCCAUGUUCUGAGCAGAGGAAGAUGAGAAUAUCUUGAACUGUGCAGGGACUUGGAGUCCUUGGGCUUUGGUCUGGGGAAGCUGGCUGGGGUUUGGCUUCCCCAAUGUCCCAGCUGGCACAGCAUUGUAGUCACACACAGGGGAAUUAGUACCCAGCAAAGUAGUCCUUCACAUAAUGGAUAUAAAUAUGAUUCUUGGAAUUUACCAAACAAUAGGCAAGAGCAGUAUUCCCAACAGGCUGGAGGGGAGCAGUUAAGUAUGAAGGAAACACCUGCAGAAGUGGGUAUCCAUUGUUUCCUUUUGAUGUUUAUCACUGUGCCUAAAUCUGGAAAGAAUAGGCUUUUGGCCUUCAAAAACAAUUUCCUUCCUAGCCUUUAUUGCCUGGAGGAAUCUGUCCUUCUCGAGCAUUCCUGUUUUGGAGACAGGGAAAAUUAUCUCCCUGCCUGGGUGAAAUUUCAUCUCCGGCUCCUCUGAGGACCGAGCAGGUAACUUUUAUGGAUCAGGUCACUCAAAAUGAAGGGCUGUGGUGAGUGACACAGGUGAGGGGCCUCUGGUGGUGGCACAUGCUGGCUCUCCAGGACACUGGGGCAGCAGCAGCACCGGCAGGAAGGCGUGGAGGUGGAUGAAGAUUGGGACCAGGCUGAGGCUGCCACGUGAAGCUUUCCAGACCAGGGGCUUGACAGGCCCGGUCCCAUCCUCCAGCAUUUCUUUAGCACUCUGGCAGAUGAAAACCACCAGGAAACAAAGGGACAGGCCAACCCUCAUGCAUUUUUGAUCAGCAGAAGGGCCUGACCCCCGCGUGGUGCGAGGUCAUGGGCAGGCCCUCCCUCUGCCCUGUCACCUCUGGAGACAGAAAGCAUGUCUCCACAGCCAGCCACCACUGCAAGGCCCUAAAUGCUCACACAGCUGCUGGAGCCCAGCUCUGCCCGCUCUCCCUUCUGCCCAGUCCCACUGCUGCUCUGACUGCCUGAGAUUUGUCUUCUCUUUAUAGCACCUUUUAUUAUUCUUUUGACAGGCCCUGAAUAGUGACGAUGAGGAGGCCGGGGCAGCCGUCCAGUGCUCCCAGUGGUGCUGUUCAGCUGCACGGUUGUUUUUUCUCAAGCUGCCAGCUGGUCCUGACACUCUGCUUGUUUUCUCCCCCCUCAGGAGGCAUUCUUUUGGUGGAAGCUACCUUGCUGACAUUUAAAUGGAGCGGGGAGUGCUGCUGGGCUGCCCUCUCCUCCUCUUCCACAGGAGCUGUGCUGCCAGCUUUCUCUCUGAGUGCCCCACCACUCCUCUCCUGGUUCCUCUGCAUGCAACCCAGGUUCUUUUAGCUUCUCUCCCACUCCUUUAUCCAAAACCUUCCUUCUUUCCACUCUUCUGCUUAUCUUUUCUGCUUAUUUUUUUAUCAGGUUUUAAAAACUCUGGAAGGAAAGUCAUGACUCUCUUCCCCUUUAUGCUGAUAGAAACAGGAGCAGGGCUGUAAACAGGACAAGAUACCUCAUCAAGGCUCUGCACAGGCUCUGUAGCUCUCUCCCUUCUGCUCCUUCAGUCCCUGAUGGUUUAUUUAGGUUGCCCCAAAGCACAGGAGAUCACAACCACAUGCACAGUGCAUGGCUGACCAGACCUCAGCUCCCCUUGCCUAAACUGGAAAUCAGUCAUUGCAGCCAUCCCAUGGUCAUUUGUGCCCUGCACUGCAUUAUUAUCUCAGGCAUGGUGCUGUGUACAUUCUUUCUUGAUGUCUCACAGGCUUCAUAAAGUUUGGGCAGUGCAAGCCUGUGGCUGUUUGCAGUGUUCUCAGUGGAUAUGGCCAAAGUGAUGUCUUUUUCCAGACAAGGAUCACAAAAGUACACAGAUUUGGUAGCCACACACCUCCCACUGAGCACCACAGCACACACUUCCCCCCAAGGCUUCAAAAUUCCUCUCGUGCUGUUGUUUAACAUGGUGGAAACCUCAAAGUUGUUGAGAUAGCCAAGAGGGCACCAAUCUCACCCACAGAGCAAGAAGGGAUGUGGCUGGGAUGUGGCCAGAGGAUGGGACAUGUCAGGUGAGUGAUGGAGGCCUGUCCUGGUUUGGAAAGACAGGUGUCUGCUAAGGAAGGCAGGAGCCUCCCUUGAAAUGGAAAAUGUAAAACCCCUCCUUCCAAAUCAUUAUAGUUUUGAAAUUUAGAGGCUCUCAGGCAAAGAUAUGGCAGCAGGAAUAACAGUUCUUUAUUAGGGAAGAAAAUAAAAGUCAAAUAAACAAUGCAGUAAUACAAAACAACACUGCCAGAGUCAGAAUACAACCUGACACUUGUCAGCGAUGGAGAGAGACAGGGAAGACUGACUCGGUGAUCAGAAUCCAAUUUUAUUGUGGGAUACAAACACUUAUAAUAUAUUAUUUCAGGGAGGCUAGUAAUGUGUACUACAAUGAUUAGGUUAAAAUCACAUACACAAACUUAUGCAUAUAACAACAUCUCUUGCUUGCAGAUUUUAAUGGGAUUUUCUUUUUCUGGUAAACCUCUUUGAUUUAAACUUCUUGCAAUCUAAGUCUAACUUUCAAAGUUCCAUUUGCUUUUGCCAAGGCAUCCUGUUAUCAAAUCUCUUAUGUUAACCAGGUCCAAAGUCCAUCCUCUGCCUUGUGUCCUCCAACACUCCAACAGACACCCUGUUGGUCAGGGGGUUGGUAGCAGUUUAAUUGGAAUGGUGGCUGCCGUCCUCCUGGAGUGUCAGGUGUGGUUCUGUUGAAGCAGUGAUCCUGUAGAAAGGUGUAGUCAUCCUCUGAAGAUCCAGUGGUGGUGUAGAUGGGCCUGGUCUUCCUUUGGGAAUCUAGUGGAAAAGGCAGCUGCUCCUCUGGGAAUCCAGUGGAAAAGGCUGUCCUGGUGUCUAAAAUCUCAGAUGAUAUCCAGUUAGGAAUGCUUGGCUCCUCCCUCUGGGCAGAGCUUCUCACAAUGUGGGAUGAUGUGGUUUUAUCAGUCAUGCUGUGGCACUCAAUUAGCAGAGGAGAUCUUCUGAAGGGAGGAUUGGUCACGGAAAGAUAAAGAAAACUGCCCAAUUAACAGAAGAUAACAGAUGGUGGACACCCACAUCUUGCAACCCAGGACAAGGCCAUGUUCCUGCUGUGGCUUUUCCACCUGGCCUCCUCUGCUGAUACCCCACACCACCACUGUACAGUGGCUUUCACUGACCAGAAGUGGAUUUAUUGAUAAACUCAAACCAGGAGAAAGAAAUAAGAUCUUAAUCUCUUUCAAGAUCAUUAAUCUUGCAGUGAAUAUAUAUGGUAGUGAAUUAAUGUGACACACUGUAUAUUGGAUAUAUUUGGUGUUAUGUGUUGACAUAUUUUAUAUGUCGUGUCCUUUCUUUCUUUCUUUCUUUCUUUCUUUCUUUCUUUCUUUCUUUCUUUCUUUCUUUCUUUCUUUCUUUUUCUUUUUCUUUUUCUUUUUCUUUUUCUUUUUCUUUUUCUUUUUCUUUUUCUUUUUUCUUUUUUCUUUUUUCUUUUUCUUUUCUGUAUAUUCUGGCCCAAGUAGCACAGUGAUGAUGUCACCUUUGAUUGGCAGGGUUUAGCAGCCAUCACAAAGCACCAGCCAGAGCAGGUCAAAAUGAGCCUCACCCCCCCAGUUUAUUUACAGUGACAGCAUAAACCCAUAUGAGAGAGCAGAAGACUGUAAUCCCAUUCAGAUUGUAACAACCACCUGAAAACCUGCUGCUGUGGCAAAUCAGCCUAAGAAGUCUCCAAGGCUCCAUCUCCUCAGCAGGAUGUCCAGGAGGUGUUCAUGCAGCUGAGUUUGAGUUUGCACUGCACAGGAAACCAGGGAAACACACGAAACCACCACACCUGGAAGAACAGCAUCACCAGCACACCCCAACCACAGCUGAUUCCCACUGAGUUCGUCCCUGGAUUUAUCAUGAGACAAUCCAGCACCAAGGCCUUCAUCUAAGGACAGAGAUGGGAAAGCUGCAGAGAAGUGCCUGGCUCUGCAUUUAAUGCUGGCCACAGACCUCCUCCAGAUCAUUGAGCCAGAUCCAGAGAGCACGAGUGAGUUCUGAUUCCAGAAGAUGCACUGGAAGAAGUGCAGUGACUCGACUGAGGUCAACAUUUUACUGAGGAUACUACUAGUGAAGAAAGUAAGGGAUGUGCAGAUUACUAUAAAUUUUCUUGAUGUAGAGAGAGACUGGAACAUUGCUCAGGAUUCCAAACUUCUGGUGCAAGUUGUGUAAAAGCGACCCAACAAUUCUCAUUUAACCUCUUUCAUCUGAAGCUUGCCCCUAACCUGCCUUAUUCUCUUUCACCACUUCUCUACAAACACUUCAUCUCCUCUGCAGUGCUCCAGCAGAUAAAGUUACUCUCUUUCAUUCCUACCACUGCCCCAGAAAAACUCCCAAAUGGAUACAGCCAUGCUGACACUGAACAGCUUUUUUUGGUUUACCCCUCAUCCUUUGAAGGUGUGAUUUAACCAGACUAACAGGAUAACUCUUCCUCUUGCUGCCUGUGCUCAGAAGUGACAAUAGGACCUGUAGCCUCAAGGAAUUCUCAGUGAAUCAAAUCCCUGUGGUCAGAGUUGGGCUAGAGCUCCAAACAUCCAGCUGGGAAAAGGCACAGAGUGUCCAGUUAGCAGCAUUUCUAAAUUACACAUUUAACACCCAUCAGAAACAUUUGUUUGUCUUUAUGGUGAUGACUGGUGAAGUUCCUCUUUGUUUGUCACUGGCUCACCACUCUAGAACAUCUGAAGGUUCUAGGAGGACCAACUUACUUUUAUCCUUCACUACAACAGUACUUUGCAUUAAUUUUUGAGCAAUCUUUUCUUUAUUUUUUAAUGUUUGCUAACCCUUGUACCUUACUGCCCUUUUGCCCACUCUUUUGGAGCCAAAUAUAAGCCUUUUUAUGUACUUAGUUUUUCACAACCAGGGAAAAAAAGAUUAUUUUUUUCACAACAGACAUUAGUGAUUCUGUUAAAACUCUUUAUUAGUCUAGAUUAAUCCACCACUCAAGGUAGUUUAAGCAAGCCUCAGCUGGCCUCAUAAUGAUUACAAUGAAACAGCAGGCCCUGCAAACCUCAUAAGAGUUGCAAUUAAGGAUUCCUGAGAGAUACAAGCUGAUAUUCCUCAGUUGGCUUCUUGGGCAUUUCCCCAGAUUUACUGGGUUUUAUGAUCAUAUACGCAAGCUGUGAUUAUGCUUUUGAAAAAUAAAUGGAAGGAAUUAAAAUUCAAAACGUUGAAAAUCCUGGAAAUAAAUAGUAAAAAUGAUGAGUGCUCUGGCUUGACUUACAGCAAGCACCAAGGUUUUCCUUUUGCCACUUAAGCAGGGCACAGUUUAGAAAUCUGCACAUGAAUCUUCCACGUCCCUGUCUUUGGCUUUACAAUGAAAUGAUACUUGGCCAUAUUCCAGGUCUCGGGGAGCUCAGCAGUUUUGUGCAGGAUAUGUCAAGUUAAAGGAAAUUUGGUGGGGGCUGGAAGCUCCAUAGGAGAGGAGGCAACAGUUGUUUGAGCCUCUCUUGAAUUGUAAAGCACAGCGCAGCUGUACGCAACGCCGGGGUGGAGCAGCACAACUUUGUCCCAGCCAGCUGACUGAAUUUAUGGGGUGCUUUGUCAAAGGGAAUUGUUCACUGGGAGGAACUGCACCACGAAAAAGGCUGAGAGCCCUGGGGAAUCUGCAGUGGGCAGCAGGAGCUGUGUCCAGGGUCAGUUCUGCGCAGCUCCAGCUCUGCAGGGGGAGGCUCAGGUGCUGCUCAGGUGUGGCUGUAGCCCAUCCUGGGGCAGGCAGAUCCAUCCACCCCACUUCCACCCCACUCCAACCCUAUCCACACUCACUGCUGCUCAUUGUCUAGCCUCAGCAGCGUGCUGGCACACCCCAUAUUUUGGGUUACAUUCAUGGGAAAUGGGUCUGACCCCACAGUGAACGUCCUUUCCUCAUCAUUUCAAAACCCUUUAAGACCGUGGCAAGUGGUUUGCUGCUAGGUGAGAGCAGAGACAGAGUGAUUACAAGUCCCUCAAAAUGCUGAGGGAGGCUUCCAGAACAAGGUUUCCUCAGAAGAGCCAUCCUACCUGCUGUAUGAACAUGCCUAGAGGCAACCCAGCGCAGUUAUUUUGGGAUUUAGAACUGUUAGAAUUCAACAGUGAAACCACUUUUCUCUGUUUUAGUCACUUGUCAUGGUGACUUUUGUAGGUUAUGACAAAAUAGGAACAUAUAUUAAUGGAAACAAAGAACUUUCACUCUUUUCUCAAAUAUAGGGUUUUUUUCCUCCUCAGGCAGCAAUUUCUACCUGAUUACAAUAUUCACCAGUUUGUAAGUAUUUCAUUUAAUAAAAAAAACCUUUUUCAAAAGUUGUUUUAACCAAGCUUUAUUGCUCAAUGAAACUUAGUUUACAAGGUAUAUGACUGGGAGUCAUUCUUCAAAUCCCAAUUAAAAUACAUAUAUAGUUUGGUAUUUUUUAAUUAUCUGAAUGUAAAACAAAACUCAGCGUUUAUAAGUUUCAGAUGGAUUCUUGAGGGUUUAUAACUUUGAUCUAAAAAUUAAAUUGCCCUCCUACCAUUUUCUUAAGACAAAAACAGGGGGGAAAAAAAUCAAUGAAAACUGAGAAAAACGUUGUGAUUUUAAAACUGAUUACGGCAGGUAUGCAGUAAAUUUUGUCCACACGUUUUAUAAGGAUUUUUACUGGCAUGGAUCCUAGCCGUGGCACCACAUCAAAAUCUAUAAUCAGUCCAC